rnacentral:rRNA from 1 species
GCAAGCCUGAUGCAGCCAUGCCGCGUGUAUGAAGAAGGCCUUCGGGUUGUAAAGUACUUUCAGCGGGGAGGAAGGCGAUAAGGUUAAUAACCUUGUCGAUUGACGUUACCCGCAGAAGAAGCACCGGCUAACUCCGUGCCAGCAGCCGCGGUAAUACGAGUUCGGCAUGGGGU